AAACCAACAGGGAUUGCCUCAGUAACGGCGAGUGAAGCGGCAAAAGCUCAAAUUUGAAAUCUAGUACCUUUGGUGCUCGAGUUGUAAUUUGAAGAUUGUACUCUGGAGUUGGCCCUUGUCUAUGUUCCUUGGAACAGGACGUCAUAGAGGGUGAGAAUCCCGUCUGAUGGGGUGUCCAAUUCCAUGUAGAGUGCUAUCGAAGAGUCGAGUUGUUUGGGAAUGCAGCUCUAAGUGGGUGGUAAAUUCCAUCUAAAGCUAAAUAUUGGCGAGAGACCGAUAGCGAACAAGUACAGUGAUGGAAAGAUGAAAAGAACUUUGAAAAGAGAGUGAAAAAGUACGUGAAAUUGUUGAAAGGGAAGGUUAUUAGAUCAGACUUGGUGUUUUACGAUUAUCUUCCCUUCUUGGGUUGUGCACUCGUAUUUCACUGGGCCAGCAUCGAUUCGGAUGGCAAGAUAAUGACAGUUGAACGUGGCUCCUCGGAGUGUUAUAGCUUCUGUUGAUGUUGCCUAUCUGGAUCGAGGACUGCGUCUUUAUGACUAGGAUGCUGGCGUAAUGAUCUAAUAUCGC
rnacentral:rRNA from 1 species